CCGCGCUAUUCCCAAUUGUUCCUCAUUCCAUUUGCUUCUCUAUUAUGAGAAUCAUAGAAAGAUUCACCGCCACUCUUCAACGAGGCCCAUUCAACUCCACAAUCCAGAUCCGUUUCAAGAAACCCGCCAACACGGCUCAGACCCGUUUAGAGACUCGUGCUCGGGACCCGAAACUCGACCUCCUCACAUUCCACCACCGCCGGCUUGAACUCGUUCUGAGCAUCCACAAGCUCAUCUCCGCCAAGAAACGUGGGCCAUUUGUCUCCGUACAGCUCCUCUCCAGAUGGGCUCCACACGCCGGAAUCGAUACCGUAACUGCUGGCGCUUUUAUACGGAAAUAUCCCCAUGUGUUCGAGGUAUUUACGCACCCGAUUCAGCGAAAUGUUUGCUGUAAAUUUACGCCGAAAUUUAUCGAAUUGUUAAAGCGAGAAGUUGAAAUUUUAUGUGAAAUGGAAGAUAUUAAUGUGGUUAAGAUAAGAAAGCUAUUAAUGAUGUCUGUGAAUGGGAAAAUUCAUUUACAUGCAAUUAGAUUGAUUAGGAGAGAACUGGGUUUGCCUGAAGAUUUUAGAGAGUCCAUUAUUCGAAAAUAUGAUAAUGUUUUUAGAUUAUUUGAUUUGGAGAUAAUGGAAUUGGUUGAUAGGAAUGAAAAUAAUGAGAGUUCGAGUUAUGUGGCGGAUGUUGAGAUGUGGAGAGAAAAGGAGUAUAGAGAGAAAUGGUUAAGUGAAUUCGAGACAAAAUAUGCAUUUCCAAUUAAUUUCCCAACAGGGUUUAUGAUAGUUCCAGGAUUUAGGGAGAAACUAAGGAAUUGGCAAAGGCUUACGUAUGUGAAGCCGUAUGAAAGAAUGAAAAAUGUUAGCAUCCGUAGUUUUGGAGGAGUUGAAAGGUACGAAAAGCAAGCAGUGGGUAUUUUUCACGAGCUCUUGUGCUUGACGGUUGAGAAAAAGGUGGAGGUAGAGAGAUUGGCGCAUUUUCGGAAGGAUCUUGGUGUUGAGGUUAACAUACGCGAGCUUCUUUUGAAACAUCCGGGGAUUUUUUAUAUUUCGACUAGAGGGAACACACAAAUGGUUUAUCUUAGGGAAGCAUAUGAUAAAGGGUGUUUGGUAGAACCAAAUCCGGUAUAUGACGUGAGGAGGAAAAUGUUGGAGCUUAUCUUAUUGGGGUGUCGUAAUACUGAAGAAUUGAGAGAGUGGUCAGAAGUUGAGGAUAGAAGAAAGUGUGUAAUGAAAAUGAACUUGGCAUGAGAGAUGGUGAUUUUGUUAUUCCAAUUUUAGAGAGCUUUCCCAACGGCAAGAUAUGACUAUCAUCCCAGCAAGAGUGGUGAUUCAUCGGAAGUGGUGUUUGAUGAGCUUUAUGAGAAGGAAAUCAAUGAUGAGACAGGUCUUUAAGAAUGAUAUGGAUUCUUUGUGGAAUAAUGAUUUAUGAUCACAACCGGACUUCUUUCUGCCAUUGGCUGCCUGAGACAAAUGGACUGGAAUCUAAUAGGUUCUUGACUGCUAUAUUUACGCGGCAUGCAUCCUCUCUUUAUGCACCUGUUCUCAGUUCUCACAGAUAAUGAGGUUCUUGCUUUGUCCUUUCCCACACUAUAGAUUUUGUCGAACAGGUGUGGUGACAUGAAAUAAGCUUGGGAAGCCUCUUUUGUAAUUCUAAUACUAUAAUGUUGGCCUUUGGCUGCAGAGACCAGAGAAUUUGGUAUUCUGACAUUGAUGGGUGUUGCUUAUUUCAGGUAAAGAUUGUCAUUUGUUUCCUUUAUGCGAUUGCCAUUUUUCCUAAGGCUACUGGAGAUGAUGAACUGACCUGGAUUCACAGGAUUCAAGUGAUCUAGGCAAGUAUGACCACAUUUUUCUUGUCCAAAUUAUCAAUUAUGUUUCACUUUUUUCAGUAUUAUAUAUCAGGCAAUCUUUGCAAUGCUUAUUUUUUGCAGCAUUCUUUCCCAAAAUUUUGUCUGGUGCAAAUCAUAAACAAUGAUAAUAUAGGAUCAGUAAUGGUGAUGAACAAUGUAUUAGAAGAUUAAAUUUCAACCUUGGCAAGGAAAAUAUAUGACACGUGUGUGUGUGUGUGUGUGAGAGAGAGAGAGAGAGAUGACAUUUUUUUUUCAAGUGAUUCUUUACUUGGGCCCUUAGAUUCUAUUCUAGUCUACUAAUGCUGUUGUGUGGAUUUCUGAGCGAAGGAAAACUAGGUUUCUCUCAGAAUCACGACAAAACCCGAAUUGCUCUCAUGGAGAUUGAGAUUAACAUGCUACAAUGUUUGAACAAAGUUCCAGCACGGGUUUCAGGGAAGCCAUCUCUUGUUGUUUGAGCUCCAUUAAUCUUUUGUCACACAAAAUCUCAGAGAAAAUGACUGUUGCAUUGACGAGGAGCUUGCUGGGAGCAUCCCCUGUAACAAUUGACAUUUAGUGCAAAGUGUUGCAAAGUAUGUAAACUGAAUCUUGGCUGCAAAUAUGUGGGAGGAUAGCAUGAAGAAAAUGUAGUGCAUUCUCUGCAAAUUUUUGCAAUUUGUUUUUUAUUUUUUCUUUAUUUUUG
rnacentral:lncRNA from 1 species